CUUGUUCUGGUAAACUACGUGAUAGAUUCCUCACUAUUUGGCCGAGGUUAUUUUUACCCGUAAGUCCUGGCAACGCUGCCUGUGUGGGGCGGAGCUGUUACUUGGCAGCAUUUUCCCUUGAAACAAGGCUGUGAUUUGCUUCUGUUUGGUUUUCUCAGACACAUUAAGGAGUGAGAGGCAUUAUUUUAGACAAAUGAUCCAAAGUCAUCACAGUGAUACAAUAACUGAGAGAUUUGCUGAGCGAAACACAUGAACAUAUGGAUUGAUUAAAAUAUAGGAAAGGAAACAGACCUGGAAGCGGUGAAAGGGCUCUUUUUUGAUCCUUUAAUAAUGUGCAGUCUUUAUAUAACCUCAGGAUCUAUGAGAGACGGCAGGUGUUAGUCAUUUUCUUUGUGACGGUGCACCUUAGUCAUCCUAAAUAACACACAUCUGAGUGCAAUUUAAUAAACAUGUGGACUGCUGAACUGCUCGUUUUUACAUCUUCUCUCAAGAACACCACCAAUUUCCCUGUAUUUUGGAGAGACGAGGGUCGUGGGGAACCUGGACGGGGUGCCAAUCCAUCGCAGGGCACAAUCACAUACACAUUCACACACCCAUUCAUACAUUAUGCAUGCCUUUGGACUGGAGGAGGAAACCGGAGUACCUGGAGGAAACCUCCGCAGCACGGGGAGAACACGCAAACUCCACACACACAGGGCAGCGGCGGGAAUCAAACCCUCAACUCUGGAGGGUAUAUAAACAUUGUGGACAUUGUGAAUGCAGUGUCUGAGGGAGCUAAGCUGCUGUCUCGCUGUUUGGCUCAUAAAUAAAGAAGUUCAACAAGCUCUGUUGUACGCUGAAGUUUGUAUCCACGCUCUCUCCUGGAGAGAAAAUCACGCUUCUGCUCCCCACUUCAGCAAACUUUAAGGGCUACACAUUUACUCCUGUUGGAACAUCAUGACAACUGACUUUACAAAACUGCACUUCUGCAAAUCUGCAUUUAUGCUUUAUGGUGUUUUUUUAAGAAUAGUUACAGCCGACUUAAGUCUAAAAGUACUGUAGAUUCACACAGGGAAAGUUAUGCGUAUUCAGAGUUGAGUUAAACAGCUGCUUUUCCUGUUGCACCAAUUCAAUUCAAUUCAGUGUUAUUUGUAUAGCGCUUUUAAUGACGGACAUUGUCUCAAAGCAGCUUUACAGAAACAUAUAAACACAGGAUAGAGAUUUUAAGUGGGUGAAUUUAUCCCUAUUGGGCGAGCCGGUGGUGACGGUGGUGAGGGAAAAACUCCCUGAGAUGAUAUGAGGAAGAAACCUUGAGAGGAACCAGACUCAGAAGGGAACCCGUCCUCAUCUGGGUAACCACUGAGGGUAUGCAAUUUACGUAAGUGUAGUUCACAGCUCCAAGGUUACUGUAGGUAUGCUGCUCAUUGCUCAAAAAGAUUAUUUUUCUCCUCAGAUUUCCCUUUAACUCGCCUCAGCCUACCUUCUCCCUACUGCAUUCCAGCAUGUGUUUGUGUUCAGACAGGAAAAGGGUCACUGUUACAGAGAAAGUAGCCAACAAGUCUUUUAAGGACUUCGGUUUGCUUGGAACGCUCUCUGACCAAGUCAUUCUUGGCAUAGAGUUGGUUUACCAAACCAGGGAAAUGCCGUGCCGGGUGUGACAUCACAACAAAAAUAUCGCGACCGCUGUGUCUUGAGGAUGAAGUUUUUGAUGAAUCUCUAAUGUGAGCAUUCCAGCAGUUUGAAGCGAAGUGUCUAGUUCACAUAUCAAAAAAGAAAUAGAAUUCUGUCAUUUUUCACAUUUUUUAUUUGGCACUGUAUUAAAUUACUCUUGAAUAACAGAGCAAAGAAUUUCUGCUGUACUUUAUUAAAUGCUAUAUAUGGUGAAAUGUAAUGCAAUUAAUCA
ensembl:lncRNA